ACUUCGGUCAAUUGAAGCUUUGACUUAGUGGCGGACGGGUGAGUAACGCGUGGGUAACCUGCCUUAUACUGGGGGAUAACAGCCAGAAAUGACUGCUAAUACCGCAUAAGCGCACGGUACCGCAUGGUACAGUGUGAAAAACUCCGGUGGUGUGAGAUGGACCCGCGUCUGAUUAGCUUGUUGGUGAGGUAACGGCCCACCAAGGCGACGAUCAGUAGCCGGUCUGAGAGGAUGAACGGCCACACUGGAACUGAGACACGGUCCAGACUCC
rnacentral:rRNA from 1 species